rnacentral:rRNA from 1 species
GACAGAGGCCCCAAGCGUUAGGCGGAAUCACUGGGCUUAAAGCGUGUGUAGGCGGAUCGUUAAGUGUCUUGUGAAAAUCCCACGGCUCACCCCGUGGAACUGCUGGGCAUACUGGCGAUCUUGGGCCAACUAGGGGCAGCCGGAACAAGCGGUGGAGCGGUGAAAUGCGUAGAUAUCGCUUGGAACGCCGAAGGUGAAAACAGGCUGCUGGGGUUGCGCCGACGCUGAGACACGAAAGCCAGGGGAGCAAACAGG